GAUGUCAUAUACUUUCUCAGUGUUGUGAAUUGGCUGAUGGAUGCAGGGAGGACAUCUCCUGUUUCAUAGGAAAUUGGAUUUCAAUAUAGACAAACUUUUCUGCUGUCUCAUAAAGCACACUGGGAGGUAAUGAUAAUCACCUGUAGUCUGCAUCUAUUGCAAUCAUUAAAGAUUCUUAUUUGGUCCUUAUUUCCUUGUGACGAGAUCUGAACCCUAAAGAACUGUACGAAGCUGUGAGAGUCUAACAUUUACUUAGCAUGGUCUCUGAAAGGACUCAAAAGCUUGAAGUAGCAGGGGUGAGUUGCAAAAGUGGCUUCUGGAGUAGACUACUCUCCCCCUCUUGAGCUCAAACUGGAGGUUGGCAGCCCUCAGGCUUCUCGUGAAUAUUCAUGAUUGGAUCUUCCUACUGGUUAGAGAGUCUAGUUCAGCAUUUCUGUUUAGAGUUCCAAUGGAGUACUAGCCUGAUACCCGGUGGAAUUAUCAUAUAAGGU